GUGGGUAGUUUGACUGGGGCGGUCUCCUCCUAAAGAGUAACGGAGGAGCACGAAGGUUGGCUAAUCCUGGUCGGACAUCAGGAGGUUAGUGCAAUGGCAUAAGCCAGCUUGACUGCGAGCGUGACGGCGCGAGCAGGUGCGAAAGCAGGUCAUAGUGAUCCGGUGGUUCUGAAUGGAAGGGCCAUCGCUCAACGGAUAAAAGGUACUCCGGGGAUAACAGGCUGAUACCGCCCAAGAGUUCAUAUCGACGGCGGUGUUUGGCACCUCGAUGUCGGCUCAUCACAUCCUGGGGCUGAAGUAGGUCCCAAGGGUAUGGCUGUUCGCCAUUUAAAGUGGUACGCGAGCUGGGUUUAGAACGUCGUGAGACAGUUCGGUCCCUAUCUGCCGUGGGCGCUGGAGAACUGAGGGGGGCUGCUCCUAGUACGAGAGGACCGGAGUGGACGCAUCACUGGUGUUCGGGUUGUCAUGCCAAUGGCACUGCCCGGUAGCUAAAUGCGGAAGAGAUAAGUGCUGAAAGCAUCUAAGCACGAAACUUGCCCCGAGAUGAGUUCUCCCUGACUCCUUGAGAGUCCUGAAGGAACGUUGAAGACGACGACGUUGAUAGGCCGGAUGUGUAAGCGCAGCGAUGCGUUGAGCUAACCGGUACUAAUGAACCGUGAGGCUUAACCUUACAACGCCGAAGGUGUUU
rnacentral:rRNA from 1 species